AUGUACAAAGAGCCAAUUAACAUUUGAUUGCAUAAGACAUUUUGAAAUUUGAUCAGGCACAAAGUAAUUGUAAAGACGAUACUUGUUAUUUUUUAUAAACUCUCAUUUUGUGCAUCCAAACUAACGAUAAUACAAUUUCUAGUUAAAUCAAUUAUUUUUAAUUUAAUUUUUAAUCUAAUCUUAGAUUCAUUAAAAGUUUCUUUUUGUAUUAAAGGAAUAUCUUCUUUCGUUUCUCUUAAGAUAAUUUUAAAUCUAAUUUUACUUUUAAUUUAUCAAAAACUUUUUUUCUAUCAAAUUAAUAUCUUCUCUUGUUUCCAGACACCGCGCGGCAAUAAUAUUUUUUUAUACCACGGAAACACGACUUUUACAUGCGCGGAAAAUUGAUAUCGUAUUGUACACAAAUCAUGCACAAAUCAUAUUGUAAAUGUACUUCAUCGAGACACGUGCAAGAUGAAUAGUUUGUAUAUACGAGAGGAAUGUUAGAGACGAUAAGAAUCGUCCAAAGAAAAAAAGGAGGACAUAAGAGCGUCGCCUUGUACAGGUGAUCUGAAAACGAGUCAGAGAAAUAAGUUGAACUAUUGAUAAAGAUACGAGAGAACCUUGCGAACAAAAUCAUGUUACACCGAAUGCUCGUGCUCGAACUGCCCGAUAGUCUUUAUUUCGUUUGAACAGAUAGCAUCGAACGGGAUCAGAGCGGAAACAAACAUUUGCGGACAAAAGGCGAACAAAUUCAAUAUUCUCUCUCGCCUCUGGAAAAGGAAGAAAAGAGCCGUGUGAAAAGAGCGCGUCCUAUGAAAAUUACAAAUACAUCAAAAUUUUCUACGAGAUUUUACCGAAGUAAUCGAAAUUUUCCCGGACUUACUUCUAAAAGAAAGUAAAAAAAAAAAAAGAAAUUCCAUAAACGCGCAUCAUCGAAAUUUUAAGUCGACAGGAUGAAAGUAAUGAGAGAUAUCCCGAGGAUACGUUCUACGUAUACUCAAGUAAUAUCUUCUUCGAGGAUCCUCUUACUCGUACAACAACAACUAAUUAAGGGACGAUUAAUUUCUCUAAAUUAACUAUCCACUGACGCAGAUCAACCUCGAUGACAUAUGUAAAUAAGUCGGCGAAUAUGUUUUUUUGAAAUUAUAUUUUGCCAAGUGAGUUUGCAUGAGACGAGAGCUACUUAUACACGAUUGUAGUACAUGGAUCGGAGCAAAUAGGCAACCUGUUGCUGAUUCACCGGCACUCACGGUUGAUGGACCCGGUAAUCCGUGUUUUACGUAUAUUGAGCCGAGCGUUAUAUACAGGAAGAAAGAUAGGCGGGGUGAUGCCGGAAGUAAAAUUUGUUUGAAUAAAACACGCCCGACUAAGUCUCGGGG